AUUGAACGCUGGCGGAAUGCUUUACACAUGCAAGUCGAACGGCAGCACGGACUUCGGUCUGGUGGCGAGUGGCGAACGGGUGAGUAAUGUAUCGGAACGUGCCCAGUCGUGGGGGAUAACGUAGUGAAAAUUACGCUAAUACCGCAUACGAUCUAUGGAUGAAAGCGGGGGAUCGCAAGACCUCGCGCGAUUGGAGCGGCCGAUAUCAGAUUAGGUAGUUGGUGGGGUAAAGGCCCACCAAGCCAACGAUCUGUAGCUGGUCUGAGAGGACGACCAGCCACACUGGAACUGAGACAAGGUCCAGACUCCUACGGGAGGCAGCAGUGGGGAAUUUUGGACAAUGGGCGAAAGCCUGAUCCAGCCAUUCCGCGUGCAGGAUGAAGGCCCUCGGGUUGUAAACUGCUUUUGUACAGAACGAAAAGGUUUCUACUAAUACUAGGAGCUCAUGACGGUACUGUAAGAAUAAGCACCGGCUAACUAUGUGCCAGCCGCCGCGGUAA
rnacentral:rRNA from 1 species